rnacentral:lncRNA from 1 species
UUUGAUCUGUUUUCUUCUGUAGUAGGAUUUUCCUUGAUAAAUGAAAAGAAAAUGAUCGGAUUUUUUUUGGGGUAUCGCUGUGCUACCUUUGAUUCUCCAGUUUUAUGUCAUGCUAAGAAAUUCUUAGCAUCUUGAGAGUAGAAUUAACGGAUCAUCAAUUUUGAUCUCAGAUCUGGAAUAUGCUGAUAUAAACCUCCGUCCUCCUAAACUUGAAGCUUGAGUUUCUUUAAUUAAUAUCAACCCUCCAUCUGAUUGAAAGAAAUUGAGGUUGUCAGUAGACUACAAGGAAUUUCUAUCCAGAGUGGAUUAGAGUUGUUUAUGAUCUAAUCUUGUGAUAGAUCGGUUAAUCAAGAGAAGUUGAUAUUUUGACAAAGAAACUUGAUCUUCUUAUUCAGAAUUAAGAUGUUGAUUCUAUGAAUAAUCUGGAGAGAGAGCUGUAUAAUUUUCACCAGUGAGUUUUUCUAUUAUUGGCAACUUCCGGGAGAAUCUUGGCAUCUUAAAUUUAGUAUUAACGGAUUGAUGGUGCCUUGGUUGGGCUUAGACCUGAAAUGUUCCCUACUCCUAGCUAUGACAUCUUCGAUCUACCUAUCUAAAAGGGGUUUGAAGUUUUGCUAGGAUAAAAGUUGAUCAUAAAAUUGUAGGCAAGGUUAAGAGAAGAAAGAAGAUUAUAGAUUAUGAAAAGUAUUUGAUGCUAAUGCUCUCACCUAUUUUUGUUAAGCCGAUUACGACCGUUGUGUGGACUUAAUCGAGAGCAAUUAAUUUCUUGGGCCAAGGAUUAUAGCAUUUAAAAUCUAAGGUGGGAAGAUUAGUCUUCUUUUGGAAGAGAUCAAAAGAACUCCUAUAUCAUAAAUGGAAAGGAUCAAGUUUUGAGAUGCCA